rnacentral:lncRNA from 1 species
GCUUUAAAUCCAAAGGACACAAUGGAUUUCACAAGGACAUGAGGUAACCUACCGGAUCAGGGUUCACACAAGUCCCUCUAUAUUUCACACUCUAGGUGGAAGACCUACACACAUUCUUGGAUGCCAUCUGACACUGGACAAGCAACCUAUACCAACUGCUUGAGGCCAAUACAGCAGAUUGUCAUGUUGCCUCGUGAGCCACCCGUAUCGGUUGACAGUGAAGACACGUCAUGCACGUCAACAGAAUGUCAAGCAGAGGACAGAUCAAUGUUUUCCAGCAGACAAAACAUACUUCAGGAUGAAACAACGUUUGUGGAAGAAUCCGUGAUCGUUGCUUUGCUUCACGCAACGAAUGACUGUGGAGAUGAAUGGGAGCUACUAUGAACCAGCUCCUUAGGAGAAACUACAAGAAGGGAAAGGAUUUGUCCCAUAAUUUGGCACUAUUAUGAUCAUUGGUUCUGUUUGUUUUACAAAUACACUGUUUGGAACUGUUGACACUAAAAUACAGGCCAAAUAAAGACCACCUGCUCCACAGAAAUUCAUACUAUCUUGUGUGAGCCUUAUUGACAGUAGGCCUAAAGAAUACAUUGUUUCUGAGAUUUGGCAAAUGGCAGUGGCGAAUGACAUCAUAAAUGCACUUAUUGAAAAACAACAUUGUGCUGCACUGUUUGAUUCAGUUGACCACAAGCUGUUGCUAG